UACGGAGGAGGCAAGCGUUAUCCGGAAUUAUUGGGCGUAAAGCGUCCGCAGGUGGCACCUCAAGUCUGCUGUCAAAGACCGGGGCUUAACCCCAGAAAGGCAGUGGAAACUGAAGUGCUAGAGUGCAGUAGGGGCAGAGGGAAUUCCUGGUGUAGCGGUGAAAUGCGUAGAGAUCAGGAAGAACAUCGGUGGCGAAGGCGCUCUGCUGGACCAUAACUGACACUCAGGGACGAAAGCUAGGGGAGCGAAUGGG
rnacentral:rRNA from 1 species